AUAAGUCAGUCAUUCGAGGUACAUUGAUAAAAAUUGCCACACACAUUAAAAAAAGAAAGGCAGAAGGGCUUUUUGAACUCCAGAAGACUCUUCAUAAGGCAGAAGCACAACACAAACAGAACCCAACUCCCAGAAAUUGAAGGAGCUUAGGGUCAUCAGACAUUUACUGAAUGACACAGCCUUAGAGGAAGUGAAUGGGGAUAUCAUUCGAUCGAGAAGUUUUCUAUGAAAAGUAUAACAAAAUGGAUAAUUUGCUAGCGAGAUAACUCAAGCCUAGACAGAAGAUGAAAUUAAUCACAGCAAUAAAAUACAAGUGUC